rnacentral:lncRNA from 1 species
GCUCCUUACCACCUUUAAACAAAACCCUUGAACGAAUUAAACCAAAAAACCCAGAAAAAAAGAAAAAAAAAAAAAAAAAGAAGCACAGAAAAUUAGGAUUAAAAUCAAUCAAUCCACACAAAGUGCUAAAAAAACAUUAAUAAACAAACACCCAACAUAAAAACAACAAGCUUUUAUUAAAAGAACACAAAAACAAAUAAAAUAAAAACAUACCCACAACUUUAUCUUACCUCAAGAACCAAAUCCAAGAGCAAAAAAAGAGUUUAAAAAUUCAAUCAAGGUCAAACAAAAUCAACCAUCCCACAGAGCAGAAAUUACAUAGGUAUUCGAGAAAAUCAGUCAUGUCACAAACUAAGCAUCUAAUCACAGAACAGAAGUUUAGAAAUUCAGCUUUCCUCGGGUGCUAAAUUGCAAUUAAAAAUAAAAACACUAAUUAAUUGUCAAUCUCAAGAGAACCUAAAUCCCAAAAAUUAGGCCAGAAACCUAAAUUACGUGCAUUGAAUAGUUCCAGAUGCAUGAAAUCAAUGAAAAAAAUUACCAAACAAAAAUAGUAAUCAGGAAAGACCAAGUAAAGAAUACACAAAAAUGUACAUAUUUAUCGUUCAUUCGUGUGGUCGCCGGAAGAAAAAAAACGGGAAUAAAGAACAAAGCUCGAGAUUUACAGCUGCGCCUAAACAUUUGCUCUCUUUCAUUGCAAAGAAACCAACAACAAUAGAAAAAAAAAUAAUCAUAUAAGUUUCGCCUCAUAUUUUCCUCAUUUACCUCAGUUUUCUGAGCAACCAAACAAAAACUAAAAGAUGGACUAGAAAGCGAAUCUAACUUGAAUAGUGUAAGAGAGCUCAUAACAGAGUGGAAAUCUCUAAAUGAAGGCGAGAACCUGGAGAUGAAAUCGCUUUAUCUGAAGAAAUUUGCGGAUCAGUAGUACGGCGACACGCGUGAAUCGAUUACAGCUUACAAGCUUUCAAUUUUUCAUUGAGAAAUUCACACAACAGAGAGAGAAGAGAGAGAAGAGAGCGAAGCUAAGGACUCUCUGUGACUUUCUCUCCUUUUGCCCUAACCUGGGUUCCCCAAAUUUCAGAGUCGAGUGUCGCGUGGGCUUUAUCUGAAGAAAUUUGCGGAUCAGUAGUAUGGAGACACGCGUGAAUCGAUUACAGCUUACAAGCUUUCGAUUUUUCACUGAGAAAUUCACCCAACAGAGAGAAAAGAGAGAGAAGAGAAAGAAGCUAAGGACUCUCUCUGACUUUCUCUCCUUUUGCCCUAACCUGGUUUCCCCAAAUUUCACAGUCGGGUGUUGUGUGGGUUUUGCUAACUUGUUUAAGAUUUUUGUGUUUAUUUAUUAAAAGCACAACCCGUGACAUGGAGAGGGAGAUGGCUGCUGACAUGGAUGUGGAGGGGUAAUUUUGGAAAUGAAAUUAUAAAACAGUACAUAGUGCAUGAAAAGGAUAAUUUUUUGGGCAACAGUAGACAUAUUUUGGGUUAUGGAAAGUUGGGUUAUGAAAAAGCUAUUAGGCCCAAAUGGGCGGGCCAAAACACAGUUUUCCCUAUAUUGUAUCAUAAGAAAAAGAAAGGAAAAAAAAAGAGUGGAGGGGGAGGGGGAGAGAUGGGGGGCUAUGUUGUAAACAACAGGGUAGCCUGUGUAAAGCCCCCAGUUUUUACUUAGAGACCUCAUUACCCAUUAGGAAAAGGGUCAGUGACCUAUUAUUAAUAAUGCAAAAUUACCCAAAGAUGGAUAUUUGAAUUUUUUUUUUUUUUUUGGAGAAUUUAAGAAUUGUUGACACAAUAUAGUGAAACUGCAUAUACAAAUAUUGGGGUCAUUAGUUCACAUGACUUAAGCGAUUAAGAACAUUGAAGAGGAGACAUGUUGCUUGAUAAGCCCACCUGUCUACAUCUUGAGCAGCCACAGUUUGUUGCUCAUGAGACUUUUUGGAAGACACCUCCAGGGAUAAGAUUGAGUAAUUUAAAUUCCAUUAACAGAGUUCCUCUCUUUCAUUAGCCUUUAGGCCCUUAGGAAUCAAGCUUAAACUCGAAAGAUUCUAAAAUCUUACUCCCUUCUAACCUCAGGAAAGUUUUGAGAGCUUAGGUAUCCACAAAUAUCUUGGUACAUUCUAACAAGUCCUAUACCACUUUCCACCAUUCAAUUUAUCCCAAAAUAGCAUAAAUGUCAAGGGGAUACAGGAGACCAGAACUAAUAAAGGCAAUGACAUUAAACGGGAGAAAAAAAUAUCAAAGCAUGAUAGAAGAGUUAAAUACUUAAACAAGUUAGUGUUGGUAUUUUAAUUAUAGUAUUCCAUUAAUACAGUACCAAAAUACUGGAUGCCAUAUACUUUUGUCUAACAAUGGAUGGAAUAAUAGAUAUACAAGCACAAGAAAUAUGUUUCACUAACAUGAAAAUGAAAUUUAUGAAAGGUGGCUAGAUUCGAGAAAUACAAACAGGAUAGAACACCUAUGAAGCAUGAAAUAUUUUUGAACACAAACUUUAACAAAUCCAUAACAUGAAUAAAUGUUUGGAACCACCACACUAGAUCAGCAAUCUGUAGCUUCUCAAUAUCAUAACUGUUACAGCUAUAUUCGACUUCUAACCAUAUAAGCUAAGCCUAUGUUUUGUUUCUAGAAAGUUUUAAGGAAAAAAAAUAGAGCAGAGAAAUAUAAGAAAAAAUUAUAAAAGUUUUCUUUUAUUUGAUUGUCCAUUGAAAAGUUGAAGGAAAGAAAAUUAAAUUGCUAAAGAAUGUAAUUUCCACUAACUUUCCUCAUUUUUUGUUAAGGAAAAUGGACACCACCACCACCCCAACCCUUUUCUUUCGUUUUUUUUUUCUUCAUCUUUCGCAUGGUACCCAAACAUGAGAAAACCAUUUUCACUAGCAUUUUUUCCUUUCCUUUUCUUAUUACUUUCCAAGAACCAAACAUAAGGUAAGUUUAUGACACCCUUUCUAACACAACCAUUAAUAGACGGCUCAAGGUACUUCUAACAGUGAAAGAAGAAUUUCACAAAUACUUAUAGUAAAUUACAGAAUAAGCCAAAAGUGAAGAUAACAUCUAUUAAUACCUGCCUUCUUCAUCUUCCAAAUUCUGAAGAUGUUGUUUUUCAUCUUCACUUAAGUCCAAUGCAACUUGGACGUAGGAAAAAUUAGAACAAAAAAAUAAUCAAGCAUUCUUUUCUCAGCAUCAUCAUGCAAAAUUUUCCACCAUAGCAUAAAAGGAAAUCAUGAAGAAAAAUAAAAAAUGAAAAAAUAAUACGCAUGCUCUCUACAAUAAUAACAAUAAAGGCAAACUACUCCAACAAAUUAUUAGAAAAAAUUGGAAAAAAUAAAAUUCAGAGAAUGGAAAUCCAUUUUCACCUCCAUAUAAAAUACACCAUGAAAAACAUUGGAAUCUAGUAAAGCUCUAGGUAAAAGAGGUAUUUCAGGCCAAUUUAAGAGCUCUAUCAGAAAUUCA